rnacentral:rRNA from 1 species
UACGGGGGGUGCGAGCGUUGUCCGGAAUUAUUGGGCGUAAAGAGCUCGUAGGCGGUCUGUCGCGUCUGCUGUGAAAACUCAGGGCUUAACCCUGAGCUUGCAGUGGGUACGGGCAGACUAGAGUGCGGUAGGGGAGACUGGAAUUCCUGGUGUAGCGGUGAAAUGCGCAGAUAUCAGGAGGAACACCGGUGGCGAAGGCGGGUCUCUGGGCCGUAACUGACGCUGAGGAGCGAAAGCGUGGGGAGCAAACAGG